AAUUUAUCAAAAAAAAAGUCCCAAAAUCUCAAUUCUCGCUUCACCGUAAGAAGAUACCCUUAGAUCAUCUUCCGACUGUUGAGAGACGAGAACAUCGAGUAGAAGCUUGACAAAUUCGUCAAAUUUUGAUCUGAGCCAAGCUUUGAAAACAACUUCAGGGUCAUCUUUGGUUUUGGUUGAAGGAGUAGACGAAGAAGUCGAAGGAAGCUGAGAGAGGAGAGGAGUGAAAAAGGAUUGAAGUGAGAGGAGUGACUCGACGACGAACUGCGGCGGAGACUCAGGUGUGACGAAGGUGAGAAGGAGAGGCUAUGCGUUGACCUUGGUGUGGUCCUUGCAAAGUAAUUGCUCUCAAAUACAAAGAGCUAUCUAAGAAGUAUCAGGAUAUGGUGUUUCUUAAGCUUGACUUCAACCAAGACAACAAGGUAUCUAAUUCAAGGAAAGGUUUAACUGUCAUUGCACAUCUUGACAUGUGAAGUCCAGUUUUGGUCUGUCUUGAGUCAAAAACUUGACUUUCACACACAAUACGUCAUACACCACAUUGGUUGGGCUUUGGACUUAAAAGAAAAAGUUAUGUAUUAAGAUUUUUACAAUUGGAACAAAGUGAGGCUGAGGUAUUGCGACAGAGCUUCAUUCGCGGGAGAUUCACAACAUGGCAACGGGACGUCACUGCUUUAUUUCAGAGGACAAGGAAUAUGGAAUGCCAUAAUUCUUGACCUUCUUCCCUAAGGUUUAGCAAAAGCCCACAAGGUCUGGUUCGACCAUCCAACAAUGGUUGCAGAGCCUUCACGCCAAUACUCAUGUUUGGUCUGAAAUCAUUUUUGUAUUGUACACAAAAAGUAACAAUUGCAG